AAUGAACGUUGGCGGCGUGGAUUAGGCAUGCAAGUCGUGCGAUAACCGUAGCAAUACGGCGAAAGCGGCGAAAGGGAGAGUAAUGCGUGGAUACCUACCCCCAGGUCCAGGAUAGCCACGGGAAACUGCGGGUAAUACUGGAUGACGUCUCCGGACCAAAGGUGUGAUUCCGCCCGGGGAUGGGUCCGCGUCCUAUUAGCUUGUUGGCAGGGUAAUGGCCUACCAAGGCAAAGAUGGGUACGGGGUGUGAGAGUAUGCCCCCGCUCACUGGGACUGAGACACUGCCCAGACACCUACGGGUGGCUGCAGUCGAGGAUCUUCGGCAAUGGGCGCAAGCCUGACCGAGCGACGCCGCGUGCGGGAUGAAGGCCUUCGGGUUGUAAACCGCUGUCAGAGGGGAGGAAAUGCCGGUGGGUUCUCCCAUCGGUUUGACCUAUCCUCAGAGGAAGGACGGGCUAAGUUCGUGCCAGCAGCCGCCGUAAGAC
rnacentral:rRNA from 1 species